AGGAAAGGCCACAUCACGCCGAUCGCACCGCAUCACCACAUCCCGUCCGCUCUGUGAAGCAAAGCGCCGUUGGGCCAGGCUACAGCAGUAGUAGAAGUACUACGGUGGGGAACACGUGGGAAGCCCCGGUGUUGUUCCUU
rnacentral:rRNA from 1 species